AUUGAACGCUGGCGGCAUGCCUUACACAUGCAAGUCGAACGGCAGCACGGGUGCUUGCACCUGGUGGCGAGUGGCGAACGGGUGAGUAAAGCAUCGGAACGUACCGUGAAGUGGGGGAUAACGUAGCGAAAGUUACGCUAAUACCGCAUAUUCUGUGAGCAGGAAAGAGGGGGAUCGCAAGACCUCUUGCUUUACGAGCGGCCGAUGUCGGAUUAGCUAGUUGGUGAGGUAAAGGCUCACCAAGGCGACGAUCCGUAGCGGGUCUGAGAGGAUGAUCCGCCACAAUGGGACUGAGACACGGCCCAGACUCCUACGGGAGGCAGCAGUGGGGAAUUUUGGACAAUGGGGGCAACCCUGAUCCAGCCAUGCCGCGUGAGUGAAGAAGGCCUUCGGGUUGUAAAGCUCUUUCGGCCGGGAAGAAAUCGCACGGGCUAAUACCCUGUGUGGAUGACGGUACCGGAAUAAGAAGCACCGGCUAACUACGUGCCAGCAGCCGCGGUAACAC
rnacentral:rRNA from 1 species